rnacentral:rRNA from 1 species
UACGGAAGGGGGCUAGCGUUGCUCGGAAUCGACUGGGCGUAAAGCGCACGUAGGCGGCUUUCUAAGUCAGGGGUGAAAUCCUGGAGCUCAACUCCAGAACUGCCUUUGAUACUGGAGAGCUAGAGUCCGGAAGAGGUGAGUGGAACUGCGAGUGUAGAGGUGAAAUUCGUAGAUAUUCGCAAGAACACCAGUGGCGAAGGCGGCUCACUGGUCCGGUACUGACGCUGAGGUGCGAAAGCGUGGGGAGCAAACAGGG